rnacentral:miRNA from 1 species
GGGAUCUCAUUAAAAUGCAGAUUUGGAUUCUGCAGUUCCGGGGUGGGACCCAGAUUCUGCAUUUCUAACAAGCUC